rnacentral:tRNA from 1 species
UAGGGAUAUAGUUUAAUGGUAGAAUACCGGUCCCCAAAACCGUUGAUGCGGGUUCGAUUCCUGUUAUCCCUGU